rnacentral:tRNA from 1 species
GCCUUUUAGCAUCGAGCCGGUAGAGCGUUCUGGACUUUUAAUCCAACGGUUAAGGGUUCAAGUCCCUUAUCGGGCU